rfam:Camelus ferus unplaced genomic scaffold scaffold1107, whole genome shotgun sequence.
GAGGGUAUAGCUCAGUGGGAGAGCUCAUGCUUAGCAUGCACAAGGUCCUGGGUUCAAUGCCUACUACCUCCA